CGAUGACAACGCGAAAACCUUACCACCUUUGACAUGUACGGAAUCCUUUAGAGAUAGAGGAGUGCUCGAAAGAGAACCGUAACACAGGUGCUGCAUGGCUGUCGUCAGCUCGUGUCGUGAGAUGUUGGGUUAAGUCCCGCAACGAGCGCAACCCUUGUCAUUAGUUGCUACAUUCAGUUGGGCACUCUAAUGAGACUGCCGGUGACAAACCGGAGGAAGGUGGGGAUGACGUCAAGUCCUCAUGGCCCUUAUAGGUGGGGCUACACACGUCAUACAAUGGAUGGUACAAAGGGUCGCCAACCCGCGAGGGGGAGCCAAUCCCAUAAAGCCAUUCGUAGUCCGGAUCGCAGUCUGCAACUCGACUGCGUGAAGUCGGAAUCGCUAGUAAUCGUGGAUCAGAAUGUCACGGUGAAUACGUUCCCGGGUCUU
rnacentral:rRNA from 1 species